GAUCUGAUUCAUGACAUGCCUAGUAUCCAAGUGUUUGGAGAGAAAAGUGAAACGAGCAAGCCUGUCGAUGGUGAUGAUGAAGAUGGCAAUGAAGAUGGGGACGGAGAAGAGGACGGUGCUGUCGGGGAGGGUGACGAAGAACCAUCUGAGGAUGACGGGGAGGGAUACGAGAACCCCAAUAAUAACAGUGGCAAGAAAGCCCCUGGCGACGGUGCUGGUGGUGAAGAAAACGGAGAGGAUGAUGAUGAAGAGGCCGAGGAUCCAGAGGACGGGGAUGACGACGACGAUGAUGAAGAAGAUGAGGAUGACGAUGAUGGUGGAGAGGACGAGGACGAGGGUGUGGAAGACGACGAGGAGAACGAGGAUGAAGAGGAAGACGACGAGGAAGAGGAGCUUCAACCUCCUAAGAAGAGGAAGAAGUGAGCGUGGUCGAAGUCGGGCUCGGUUUUAGUUGUAGCUUCUCUUGCUCUUUCGCAGUUCAGUCCGUUCGACCUCGCCGUGUGCCCUAACCCUGGUUUCAUUUCAGGAUUCAUAACGACAGACCGUUGUGGUGUUGGCCUAUGUAGGAGUACUAUUUCCUAAUGCAUCAGAGAGAACUUUGUCAAAUUUUGAUUUGUCUCUCUCAGUUAUUUAAGCUAACAAACUCUAAACUAUGCUGCUUCAAUUUGGUAUCAGAUUUUAACAAUGUAGUCAAAUGCAGCUCACUUUUCCCUCCUUGUUUGGGUCCAUAUGCAUGCAUGUCUCUUAUCUAAACUUUUAUGUGGUUGAAAUCUGGUGCUUGUGGCAACAGGUGAAACACAGCUUGAAGAUGAG
rnacentral:lncRNA from 1 species